rnacentral:rRNA from 1 species
GUGGGGAAUAUUGCACAAUGGGCGCAAGCCUGAUGCAGCGACGCCGCGUGGGGGAUGAAGGCCUUCGGGUUGUAAACUCCUUUCAGCAGGGACGAAGCUUUUGUGACGGUACCUGCAGAAGAAGCACCGGCUAACUACGUGCCAGCAGCCGCGGUAAUACGUAGGGUGCGAGCGUUGUCCGGAAUUACUGGGCGUAAAGAGCUCGUAGGUGGUUUGUCGCGUCGUCUGUGAAAUUCCGGGGCUUAACUCCGGGCGUGCAGGCGAUACGGGCAUAACUUGAGUGCUGUAGGGGAGACUGGAAUUCCUGGUGUAGCGGUGAAAUGCGCAGAUAUCAGGAGGAACACCGAUGGCGAAGGCAGGUCUCUGGGCAGUUACUGACGCUGAGGAGCGAAAGCAUGGGUAGCGAACAGGAUUAGAAACCCCAGUAGUCC